AGAUUGAACGCUGGCGGCAUGCCUUACACAUGCAAGUCGAACGGCAGCACGGGAGCAAUCCUGGUGGCGAGUGGCGAACGGGUGAGUAAUACAUCGGAACGUGCCCAAUCGUGGGGGAUAACGCAGCGAAAGCUGUGCUAAUACCGCAUAAGAUCUACGGAUGAAAGCAGGGGAUCGCAAGACCUUGCGCGAAUGGAGCGGCCGAUGGCAGAUUAGGUAGUUGGUGAGGUAAAGGCUCACCAAGCCUUCGAUCUGUAGCUGGUCUGAGAGGACGACCAGCCACACUGGGACUGAGACACGGCCAGACUCUACGGGAGCAGCAGUGGGAAUUUGGACAAUGGGCGAAAGCCUGAU
rnacentral:rRNA from 1 species